rnacentral:rRNA from 1 species
GACGUAGGGCGCGAGCGUUUUCCGGAUUUAUUGGGCGUAAAGAGCUCGUAGGCGGCUUGUUGCGUCGACUGUGAAAACCCGCGGCUUAACUGCGGGCUUGCAGUUGAUACGGGCAGGCUAGAGUUCGGUAGGGGAGACUGGAAUUCCUGGUGUAGCGGUGAAAUGCGCAGAUAUCAGGAGGAACACCGGUGGCGAAGGCGGGUCUCUGGGCCGAUACUGACGCUGAGGAGCGAAAGCGUGGGGAGCGAACAGG